ACAGGAGUCAAUGGAGCCUCAAUUAUCAUUAUGAAUAAUUGAGGACCGUUUUCUAACUGUGA
rnacentral:pre_miRNA from 1 species